ensembl:misc_RNA Metazoa_SRP Metazoan signal recognition particle RNA
GCUGGGUGUGGUGGCGCGCACCUGUAAUCCCAGGUACACGGGAGGCUGAGGCAGGAGAAUUGCUUGAACCCGGGAGGCAGAGGUUGCAAUGAGCUAAGUUUGUGCCACUGCAGUCCAGCCUGGGUGACAGAGCGAAACUCUGUCUCAA